rnacentral:misc_RNA from 1 species
CUUGAUCUACAGCUGCAUGUAUGCUCUGGUACAUUUAGUGCACUUCUGAUGGUGGAUUCAGCAAGUUCGAUGGGUUUCAUUUAGAGGGACGGGAAGGAGGCUCCUCGAAGGUGUCUAAGAGUCGGCCAUGGUAGGUCGCUGCCCUCCUGUAUGGGCCUUGUCUUCUUCUCUAUGCUUCUCCGUCCAUGGCUAUCGAUCGAUGCUAAAAUACUCUAAAUUCCAUAGCUUGUUUGUUGUCUUAAAGGGGUUUACUCGCUUGAGCUGCUUCUGGUUGUGUUGGUUGAGGCCUCCCACCUUGGUAGACGACUAGUUUCUACGAUUUGGAGUAGCUCCAUGGUCGGAUAUCUGAAGUGAGCGCGCUGUUUGAUGAAGAAUCGGGUCAGCUUUAGUUUCUUCGGAUCCCGACCUGUUUUAAAUUAGGAUUGCCUAUUGAUGUAUUGGGUCUGCUAGACUUGAUAGUGGGCUUCUUAUUGCAAUGGUAGUUUUUUCCAAAGAUAAUAUUUCAUUAAAAUGGCCUUAAAAGGCCUAGAGAAAAUGGUACAAAGUCUAUGACCUGUUAACUCAGAAGAAGAAUAAAAGCUAUUAAAAAAGCUACCAUUGCAAUAAGAAGCUCACUUUCAAGUCCAGCAGACCCAAAACAUUAAUAGGUAACCCUAAUUUAAAACAGGUCGGGACUCG